UUCCUACUAAAGGAUAUGGAACUAAGAUAGUUAGCUUCGGUUCCCUUCUCUGCCACAGGAUUUUAAAGGUUUGAGUUUUAAAACUCUUGAAAGGCAAGUGCUAUUCUGGAGCCUCAGUGGGCAACUAAAACUUUGAGUGCAGUGGAUGUGGAUUUGACUGAAGAAUGAACUGUCCAAUUUUGUCUCCACAGGAUCUCUUCCACAUUCCUCCUUCUUAUAAAAGUACAGUCACACUGUCCUGGAAACCAGUACAGAAGGCAGAUGCAAAUCAAAAAAGAACAAGUGAAGAUACAACCUCAAGUUCACCUCCAAAGAAAGCUUCGGCAGGACCAAAAAGGGAUGCCAGGCAGAUAUAUAAUCCUCCCAGUGGAAAAUACAGUAGUAACCUGGGCAGUUUCUCUUACG